CCUACGGGUGGCAGCAGUGAGGAAUAUUGGUCAAUGGCCGGAAGGCUGAACCAGCCAUGCCGCGUGAAGGUCAGUGCCCUAUGGGCGUUAAACUUCUUUUGUGCGGGAGCAAUAAUGGUCACGUGUGGCCAGAAGAGAGUACCGUACGAAUAAGCAUCGGCUAACCCCGUGCCAGCCGCCGCGGUUAUACGGGGGAUGCAAGCGUUAUCCAGAUUUAUUGGGUUUAAAGGGUGCGUAGGCUGGGAGGUUAGUCAGCGGUGAAAUGCCCCCGGUCAACGGGGUGAAGGGCCAUUGAUACUGCCUGGCUGGAAUGCGGAUGCCGUGGGAGGAAUGUGUGGUGUAGCGGUUAAAUGCAUAGAUAUCACACAGAACACCGAUUGCGAAGGCAUCUCACGAAUCCGCGAUUGACGCUGAUGCACGAAAGCGUGGGUAUCAAACAGGAUUAGAUACCCGAGUAGUC
rnacentral:rRNA from 1 species